rnacentral:lncRNA from 1 species
CAGAAGAGAAACCCUGUAACUGAAAUAAUCUCAUUGUACACCAGAAAACUAAUACUGAAUAGAAACCUUAUGAACGCACAGCAUGUGGCAGGGCACCCACAGAAAGCUGCUUUUUGCAUACAAAAUAAAAACAGUAAAUGUACACGGAAUGUCAUGAAUUCAGUGAGCCCGUCUGGAACCAAGCCUGCAGUUGUCUGAGGUACGUGUGUACGUGUAGCUGUCGAGUGAGGAUGGGGAAAAGUCACUGUGCCAGCUGCCUUCUUACAAGGUCAGUUUUCCUCUCCAGUUUCUUUAUGUGAAUGAACAUUAACCUGAAGAGAGUUGGGACCCUGGCAAUCACGGCUACACUUCAGGAGUAGCGUAUUGCAAACCACAGAUGUUUCUCUUUUUAAAUUUUUAAAAAAUGUUCACUUAUUUUGAGAGAGAGACAGAGUGUGCGCAGGGAAGGAGCAGAGAGAGGCGGAGCCACAGAACCUGAAGCAGGUUCUAACCUGCUUGGAGGCUCUGAGCUGUCAGCACAGAGCCUGACGUGCAGCUUGACCCCAUGAACCCUGAGAUCACAUCGGACGUUCCACCGACUGAGCUGCCCGGGCGCCCCUCAAGCCACAGAUACUCCUGAAUCCCCUCCCUCUUUGUCCUCUGUACUUGAGGAGGGAAUCCCACCAUUUACCCUCCUUUGAAGGAGGUGUUUAAUGAUUUCUGAAUGCCUGGUCCUUCCUGUGUUCAGCUCAUUACACAGGAUGCAAUCUAAAGAUCCCUGGAGUAAAGAAGGAUGAUUCACAGAAGAGAAGAGAAAGUUUGCAUGAGGGAAGAAUGUCAGAUACUUGAUCAAGUGUAUUCCCUAAAUCUGGAAAAUAUAAUGAGUAUGUGUUCUGUCAUAGAUGUUCCAAGGAAGAUUCACACAUAAUAAUGAAUUGUGUGAAUGUAUCGUGUGAUGCAAAUCCACAUGCAACCUUGCCCAGUAGAAAUGUUGAUAUAAUGUUGACAACAUUAUAAUGUUUCAACAACGUUGAAAUCAAAUACUGUGGGAAAGGCUAAUGCUAACAUUAAGUUCUUAAUCUUAAAAAGAAAAUAUGGGGCAACUGGUCAGUGUAGAGUGUGCAACUCUUGAUCUCAGGGUUGUGAGUUUGAACCCCAUGUUGCACGUAGAGAUUGCUUAAAAAUAAAAUAGGGGUGCCUGGGUGGCUCA